UUUAUGACNCUGGCGCGGCUUACACAUGCACGUCGANCGGUANCAGGAAGCAGCUUGCUGNUUCGCUGACGAGUGGCGGACGGGUGAGUAAUGUCUGGGAAACUGCCUGANGGAGGGGGAUAACUACUGGAAACGGUAGCUAAUACCGCAUAACGUCGCAAGACCAAAGAGGGGGACCUUNGGGCCUCUUGCCAUCGGAUGUGCCCAGAUGGGAUUAGCUAGUAGGUGGGGUAACGGCUCACCUAGGCGACGAUCCCUAGCUGGUCUGAGAGGAUGACCAGCCACACUGGAACUGAGACACGGUCCAGACUCCUACGGGAGGCAGCAGUGGGGAAUAUUGCACAAUGGGCGCAAGCCUGAUGCAGCCAUGCCGCGUGUAUGAAGAAGGCCUUCGGGUUGUAAAGUACUUUCAGCGGGGAGGAAGGGAGUAAAGUUAAUACCUUUGCUCAUUGACGUUACCCGCAGAAGAAGCACCGGCUAACUCCGUGCCACACCCCGGGG
rnacentral:rRNA from 1 species